rnacentral:rRNA from 1 species
UACAGAGGGGGCAAGCGUUAUUCGGAAUUAUUGGGCGUAAAGGGCGCGUAGGCGGCUUGGCAAGUGGAAGGUGAAAUCCCUCGGCUUAACCGAGGAACUGCCCUCCAAACUGCUUUGCUUGAGGCCGGGAGAGGUGAGUGGAAUUCCCAGUGUAGCGGUGAAAUGCGUAGAUAUUGGGAGGAACACCAGUGGCGAAGGCGGCUCACUGGACCGGUACUGACGCUGAUGCGCGAAAGCGUGGGGAGCAAACAGG